CCUACGGGUGGCAGCAGUGAGGAAUAUUGGUCAAUGGACGAGAGUCUGAACCAGCCAAGUAGCGUGAAGGAUGACUGCCCUAUGGGUUGUAAACUUCUUUUAUAUGGGAAUAAAAUGUUCCACGUGUGGGAUUUUGUAUGUACCAUAUGAAUAAGGAUCGGCUAACUCCGUGCCAGCAGCCGCGGUAAUACGGAGGAUCCGAGCGUUAUCCGGAUUUAUUGGGUUUAAAGGGAGCGUAGGUGGAUUGUUAAGUCAGUUGUGAAAGUUUGCGGCUCAACCGUAAAAUUGCAGUUGAAACUGGCAGUCUUGAGUACAGUAGAGGUGGGCGGAAUUCGUGGUGUAGCGGUGAAAUGCUUAGAGAGCACGAAGAACUCCGAUUGCGAAGGCAGUUCACUGGACUGCAACUGACACUGAGGCUCGAAAGUGUGGGUAUCAAACAGGAUUAGAUAUCCUUGUAGUC
rnacentral:rRNA from 1 species